AUGCUUUGCAAACUAUAAAGGCAAUAGACAAGUUGGCCUUUACCAUCACUUCCUCAGUUUAUCUUGCCUCGAAGAAUUCUGGCGGAAUAAGUGAGCUAGAAAGCCAUUUAGUACAUCAAGUCCUAAGUACUACUUCCUAAUUCAUUGUGGCAAGUGAGGACAUACUUUAAUUCUGUUGAUAAAAGAAAAAACAAUCAGAAAGCCUGCCCAUCAGGAAGAUGCAUAAAACAUCUUCCAUCUACAGUCAAAACUGAAGUACGAGACAAGAAGCAGCUGCUGCUGUAAUUCACCCGGUUGUGGUACUUGGUCAUGACUGCCCUAGCUAACUGAUCAAGAUGACUGACAUCGCUCCAGGUGAGAUGAAGCUGCCAGCUAUGUGACCUUGGGCAACUUACUUGACUUCUUUGGAAGAACGCUUUCCUACCCGUGAAACAGGGAUGAAGAAGGUGACUCGAGUGUGAAAAUCUUCAACUCAUCCAAGGCCAAGGAAAAGCCAAGCCUCAGCCUGAUCAUCUUUUCUAGCUUCAUGAGACCGAGGCAGAAGUCGUUAAGUCCAGCAGAUCAGAGUGUGUGCAGAGGGGUCGUUUUCUCUGGAGCCCUGCCAC